rnacentral:rRNA from 1 species
GUGCCAGCAGCCGCGGUAAUACGGGAAGGGCAAGCGUUAUCCGGCAUGACUGGGCGUAAAGAGUCCGUAGACUGUAAAGUAAGUUUUUUGUCAAAUUUUAAAACCUAAUUUUAAAAUAGCAAUUAAUACUACUUUACUUUGAGUUUAAUACAGAAAAGUAGAAUUUUAUACGAAGGGGUGAAAUCUGUAGAUAUAUAAAGGAAUGCCGGUAGCGAAGGCGACUUUUUGGUAUAAACUGACGUUGAGGGACGAAAGUGUGGGUAGCAAACAGGAUUAGAGACCCUGGUAGUCCACACCGUAAAUUCUGAGUGCUGUAAUUUAAUUGUAAUAUUUUAAAUAUUAUUUAGAUUUUCAAGCUAACGCAAUAAGCACUCCGCCUGAAGAGUACGAUCGCAAGAUUGGAACUCAAAGGAAUUGACGGGGGUCUAACACUAGUGGUGGAGCAUGUGGUUUAAUGCGAUAAUCCGCGCAAAACCUUACCAAUUCUUGACAUAAUUAAAUUAUAGCUUUUAAUUCAGUGUAGGAGUUAAAAGUGAUGUUUUUUUACAGGUGUUGCACGACUGUCGUCAGCUCGUGUCGUGAGAAGUUGAGUUAAGUCCCGCAACGUGCGCAACCCUUGUCCUUAGUUGC